AUGGGGGAAACGUUGCAAAAGAAAGUUCGAGAACAAGCGUGGGGUGUGGUGCCCGCAUAGUGUAUUUUGCGGUGAUUAAAAUGAGCAGAAUCAUUGUUAAACUGCCUCGGAUGGACGGGAAAUUAUUGCUACAGAUAAUUCUACAGUAUUAAGCAAAUAUUCGUCAAACAAGCAGAAGUGGCAAUGUUAUUACGAGGGUCGUUGGGAAGUCGUUGUUUGGUGUGAAUGAGGUAGAUAUUUCGUUCCAGCAUUACCCACUGUACUGGCCAAAUAUUACGAUGGAAAUUACGACUUGGAAGCCACUGUGUAAAAGCUGCUAGACCAUCCAUCAGCAGUAAAAUCUCGUCAGAGGCUGCAAUACGUUGCUGAACACAACAGGACUGAAGUAUUUAUUUCUAUGGUGAAGUUCAGUAUAUUGUAUUUUUCAUAACGACGAAACAUAUUGUAAAAGUCAUGAUUCGUCGUCCUCUUGUACAGGAUCAUAAGCUGGUUGUACAUAGGCCUAUAUAAAGUGCUUAAAAUUACUAUUGCCAUAUUAAGCAGAGCACCAGAUUGUGUACAAAGUACCAGCAAUAUUAUUACAUCGACAAAUAUACUAAAAGCAGCUGCAGAAGAAGACAACAAAAGACACUGAUGUCACACGCCUGCUCUGUCAGUGAAGUUGAUGUUCCUGAUAGCCAGUGAUGUGACACGUGAAGCCGGUGCUGCUGCCAAUGUAAACUAUGCUUCAUUUGGCCCGAACACUGACACUUCGCAAUCCAGCACAGCACAACACCGCCCUGGCCACGGAGAAUGACUGUUACAUCCAGGAAAUAAAUGAGACCCAAAUGACAAAUAUGUUGUGUGAAUUCAAUGGCAAUCAUGAGAAGUGUGAUGCAAGUGUUCAGACUUAGUCUCUAACAGAAUUGUGGCCCUUAGGAAAAAAGUGAAAUGACUGCAAGUGAAACUGAAGUGGCAUGAAGAAAAGGUGGAAACAAUGGCAGAAUUGACCAGUGGUGAAAAAAAGAAGCUAUGUAAAUGACAAUCUGAAAAGUGUUCUUCAGGAACAUUUUAGUUGCUUUCCUUUAGAUUUUAUUGUUACCCAAUUGAAAAACACUGAUGCAACGAAGCAAUUCAGACAAUACAGUGAACUAACGAAACAAUUUACCCUCACUUUGUAUUGCUAUUUCCCUGUGGCAUAUAGAUUUGUACACUCUUAUGUUUCUUUUGUCCCACCCCCGGUAUUCUUCGAGGUUGGGUGUCAUCAGUAAAUCCUGAAUUUGGCUAGCUACAACAGGUUUUCUACUAUCUAAAACAAUACCAGUGACAAAUGAUAUCUUAA